UUCCAAAUCGCACUACAAGAAUGGCAGAACUGGAGUCUCCCAAAUCGGCUACACUCCUAGGGAGGCAAUGCCUGUUGACAGUGGAAAUGCUCCCAAGGACGGUUAUGUUAGCAUUGGUGCACCAAGCAUAUAUCCAACACUAGUGAAGGAUUCUGCAAGGAAAAUAUAAUGGAUUCAUCCUCUAGAAGCUCUAAUGACCAGGAAGUUGCUGGUGCUCUUGCUACUCUAGUGUGGUGGAAUCAAUAAACAAUUUUACUUUAAAAAA